CGGAUAGGGAGCCGAAAUACACACCUACGCAUUCACACCAGCCAUGAUGUGUACAGCUGUGAUCAGUGUGGUAAACAGUUUACUACAAACACAGAGUUACGACGUCACAUGUUUACCCACACUGAGGAACGACCUUAUAAAUGUGACCUGUGUGAGAAGACUUUUAAAUCUCCACGUUACCUGAAAGCACACCAACAGAUCCACACCAGAAAGACUCUACAAGUGCAGUUACUGUGAGAAGCAGAGCGACACAGAUGGAUCAAGUUCUCAACCCUGUCAUCGCUGUGGGAAAGACUUUUGUUGUGACCUUUGUGGAAAAACUUUAAGUCAUUGAAGGACUCUGAAAAUACAUCAACGUAGACACACUGGAGACAAAAUGAACUACUGUAAAGAAUGCGGGAGAGGCUUCACCACUUCAAAGGACUUCAAACAAUAUGAACUCCUUCACAGUGGCGUUAAAAAGCAUGUCUGCGAUCAGUGUGGGUCAUCCUUCAUCAGUGCACGUCAGCUUGAAAAGCAUAAACGAGUCCACACAUGAGAGAAACCAUACAAGUGCAGACACUGUCACAAAACCUUUUCACAGUCAUGUGAUCAUACUAAGCAUGAACGCAGACACAUGAAAGAGAACUUCAUCUGUGAAAGAGUUUGAGUAAUCUCAGUUCAUACUCCACUCAGAAACGAUUCCAUGUUACAAAUAAACUGUUACGUCUUGAUUCCUGCUUUUACGUUAAUCUUGUAAAUAGUACAUUUGCAUAACGACUGAAACCGGCCCAAUGAAUGAACAAUGGGCUUGAGGUCAAUUUCUUCAUCAUUAAUAUGCAAAUUCUUAUGAGCAUUGAUCAACAACCACUGGUCAAUGGCCAUGAGUACCAUUCACAGAGUAAAAAUUUGCAUAAUGAUUAUGAAGUUUACUGUUACCAAUGUUCAAAAACAUUUACUAAA